CAUGGGAUUAUGGAGUGUAUUCG
rnacentral:miRNA from 1 species